UGGGGAAUAUUGCACAAUGGGCGCAAGCCUGAUGCAGCCAUGUCGCGUGUAUGAAGAAGGCCUUCGGGUUGUAAAGUACUUUCAGUCGGGAGGAAGGUGGUAAGGUUAAUAACCUUGGCAAUUGACGUUACCGACAGAAGAAGCACCGGCUAACUCCGUGCCAGCAGCCGCGGUAAUACGGAGGGUGCAAGCGUUAAUCGGAAUUACUGGGCGUAAAGCGCACGCAGGCGGUUGAUUGAGUCAGAUGUGAAAUCCCCGGGCUUAACCCGGGAAUUGCAUCUGAUACUGGUCAGCUAGAGUCUUGUAGAGGGGGGUAGAAUUCCAUGUGUAGCGGUGAAAUGCGUAGAGAUGUGGAGGAAUACCGGUGGCGAAGGCGGCCCCCUGGACAAAGACUGACGCUCAGGUGCGAAAGCGUGGGGAGCAAACAGG
rnacentral:rRNA from 1 species